rnacentral:rRNA from 1 species
CCUACGGGAGGCAGCAGUGAGGAAUAUUGGUCAAUGGGCGAGAGUCUGAACCAGCCAAGUCGCGUGAAGGAUGACUGCCCUAUGGGUUGUAAACUUCUUUUGUAUGGGAGUAAAGUGUUCCACGUGUGGGAUUUUGUAUGUAACAUAUGAAUAAGGCUCGGCUAACUCCGUGCCAGGAGCCGCGGUAAUACCGAGGGUCCGAGCGUUAUCCGGAUUUAUUGGGGUUAAAGGGAGCGCAGGUGGAUUGUUAAGUCAGUUGGGAAAGUGUGCGGCUCAACCGUGAAAUGGCCGUUGAAACUGGCAGUCUUGAGUACAGUAGAGGUGGGCGGAAUGCGUGGUGUAGCGGUGAAAUGCUUAGAUAUCACGAAGAACUCCGAUUGCGAAGGCAGCUCACUGGACUGCAACUGACACUGAGGCUCGAAAGCGUGGGUAUCAAACAGGAUUAGAUACCCCAGUAGUC